GCGGACGUGGCGGAAUUGGUAGACGCACCAGAUUUAGGUUCUGGCGCCGAGAGGUGUGAGAGUUCAAGUCUCUCCGUCCGCACCA
rnacentral:tRNA from 4 species